rnacentral:rRNA from 1 species
GUUGAGAUUUGAUCCUGGCUCAGGACGAACGCUGGCGGCGUGCUUAACACAUGCAAGUCGAACGAUGAAGCCCUUCGGGGUGGAUUAGUGGCGAACGGGUGAGUAACACGUGGGCAAUCUGCCCUUCACUCUGGGACAAGCCCUGGAAACGGGGUCUAAUACCGGAUAAUACUUUCUCUCUCAUGGGGGAAGGUUAAAAGCUCCGGCGGUGAAGGAUGAGCCCGCGGCCUAUCAGCUAGUUGGUGGGGUAAUGGCCUACCAAGGCGACGACGGGUAGCCGGCCUGAGAGGGCGACCGGCCACACUGGGACUGAGACACGGCCCAGACUCCUACGGGAGGCAGCAGUGGGGAAUAUUGCACAAUGGGCGAAAGCCUGAUGCAGCGACGCCGCGUGAGGGAUGACGGCCUUCGGGUUGUAAACCUCUUUCAGCAGGGAAGAAGCGAAAGUGACG